UAAGAGAUCGAAAUAAUGGUAAAGUAUUGUUUUCCGUAACAAUAGAAUGCUAUAGUUCUAGUGAUUGUUUGUGAAGAAUUACUCUUUGUAAAGGUUUUUGACUUCGAAAAUAUUGUGGUUUUCAUCCGAUUCUCCAAAUGUCAAUUCCCAAUGAUGUCAUAUCAACAGAGAAAAAGUAUCAUCGACGAUUUUUUGCUCUUGAAGAAAAAUUUAACGCAUCUAAAAUUUAUUUUUGGUUGUUGGCGAAAGUCACAUCGCCAACAACCAAGACACUCCAAUUACUGUUCGAUUUAUAAAUACGAACUGCAGUUGGAGUGUCUGACAAGGUAAGUGUUGAAGUCAUUUAGUGCAUAUCUGAUUCUAACAAUAAUUAUUCUUCCAAUGAGAAUGAAAUACAGAAGACACGGGCUUUAUUCAGCGGUAUGGCUUAAAGGUAAAAUAAUUGACGACAAGAUAGAAGAGAAAAGAGACACGUGAAUGGUAAAGAUAUUAUGGGAGCAGGAAAAAUACGUGGUAUCGAGACACUGCGUUGUCUAUUCGCAAAAGGAUCAGCCUUAAAGUGCAGAUUUAAUUCCGAUAUUUCCCAGAAAGUUGUUACGUGAAUGGAAAGUGGAUCUUUAAAAAAUCCUCGAUCCUCUAAGGAACGAAGACGAAAUCACACCCGACGAUAUAAAUUGUGCAGAACAGAAAUAAAUAUACAAUUCUGCACAGCAGAACAUCCGCUAUCCAACGGUGUAAAACACAAAGUAUUAGGCGAAGUAACAGACCAGAAGCGACCGAAAGAAACCAUGUGUUCUAGCACAAAAACACCCGUAACUUUGUUAAUUAUUACCCGAUUUUAACGGAAUAUACAUUAAAAUGAUCCACUUGACACCAAUAAACCGAAAAUGAACAAAAACAAUCCAAAAUCAAUAGGCAGAACGCAGAUGAGGUAUCCGGAACAGGAGCCGAAUGUACAGUACACACGACCUCUGUCUUCUGAUCCGCCAGAAAGUCUCCGCUAGUCCUAUAUCAUAAUAAGUAUUAAUAGCAUAAGUUUUCCAUUUUUUGCUUAACUCUACAAGGUUUAAAAUGCUUGUGUUACAUAAGCAUUUUAAAAUAAAUCUUGAGACCGACUGAAUAUUUAUUGGGUUCGAAAGGAUAGAGGGAGAAGAAAGAGGACAAAAAUUAUUAUUGGUCGUUUUAUUUAUGACGACCUCGCG